rnacentral:rRNA from 1 species
UACGGAGGAUGCAAGCGUUAUCCGGAUUUAUUGGGUUUAAAGGGUGCGCAGGUUGUUUGAUAAGUCAGUGGUGAAAGUCUGUCGCUUAACGGUAGGAUUGCCAUUGAUACUGUUGGACUUGAAUAUGGAUGAGGUAGGCGGAAUGUGUAGUGUAGCGGUGAAAUGCAUAGAUAUCGUGAGGAACAUCGGUGGCGAAGGCGGGUAACUGGACUGCAACUGACGCUGAGGCGCGAAAGUGUGGGGAGCAAACAGGAUUAGA